rnacentral:lncRNA from 1 species
UUCUCAAAAAUAAAAUGUUAAAUCAAGUAAUUACAAGCUAGGAAACCCCAUUCAUAUAUUUUAACACGAGAAGAAAGUUGACAUCACAACCUUAAACAUACUUCACUAGGAGCUCCUUCCACCUUUUUUUGAUAGAUGAAGCUCUUCCAUUACAAGCUAGGUUAUUUCACACCAAACUAGAACAAGAGAAAAGAGACGCAUACUUACGAGGUGAUUUAACCACAAGAAAAGCAGCAUAUAUAUAAGAUACAGUUCUAUCUCUUACAAGAGGACAUAAUAUAGAAAACCUAAAGACUGAGAGAUGGUAGGCUUGAUUAAUGGCGCAUGCAUGUCGUGCCAUCAUGCCUUGACGACGAUACCCCAGUUCUUGGCUGCAUACUCUUUCAGCUUCUUAAUCUCCAAUUCACCAUCGAUGCAAUGGUUGUGGUUGAGGUCGUUCCUGAGCACAGCCAACCAUGCCUUCAGUGUUGCCCAAUUUAUUCCAAGAGCAUGGAGUGCUUUUUUCAGCUCAUGCCCGCUGAUGAGGCCAUCUCCAUUGAGGUCAGCUGUUUUAAGCCACUCCCUGAACUGUUGCUCAGUCAUUUGGCUAUUCGGAUGGUUGGGAGUGGGCUGACCAUGAUUACAAAUACGAAUGCUUUGUGGCAUGGUGGUUUGAGAAAUACUAAACCUCACUACUGCAACCACAAGGGGAUGAGGAAUUUGAUCGCUAUGGGACUGAAGACUAGCAAUAUAUGUUACGGCUAUUUAUAGACCUAAGACGAGCAAUCUGUAGGAAGCGGUCGCUUGACUAGUAGUAGACGAAUCAAUUAAGCAUGACGUGUGGUAUUGGUAGAUUCAGCUUAUCCUAUUCUUCUUGGGUUGGCAAUAAUGCAUACCAUAUGCCCCAACUUGCCGAUUCUUCUCAGGUGACGAGUGGUGAUUCCACCUUAUCCUAUUCAUGUAGUUGCAGAAUUUAAAAUUGGUAGGUUCUUGAUGGUCUUGCCCAACGUUGUUCCUCAAAAAAAGAAAAAGAAAAGGGAAAAAGAAUACUUAAUUGGUGGCUUCCAAGUUAUUCCAGAACUCAAAAUGCCAUCACAUACCUUAAGCUAAGCAUUCUGAUAUAAAUCAAAUCUAGGAAAUUGUAAACAGUCAAAAAGAAUAAUAAUAAUAAUAAUAAUAAUAAUAAUAAUAAUAAUAAUAAUAGCAAUAAUAGUAAUAAUAAGUCAAACUCUUAAUAUCUAUCGUACGUUGAGAUGGUAGCAAUUAGCUGGAGAUGUAUUGAGAAGCAAGUGCAGCAUUUCUUCUUGAGUUCUAAUUGUAGCUUAAACAAACUCUUCUAAUAGAAAUAGAUGUUUGACGAAUUGACCGCAGAAGCACCAAGUCCUUGGGAUUUUUAAAAAGAAAGGUGCAUGUUACGACGAAAACCGAAAGUUGCAACCAUCUUUUGGAAUUAAUGCCUCAUAUGAGCGUGAAUGAAGCACGUCGGUAGUUUCGAUUCUCCUUAAAUUGUGGGCCACAAGAAUGCUUUUUGAGCUUGUUUGGCUAGCGAAGAGCCGAAGAUAUGAAUAAUUAGAAUACAUAUAAAAGAGAAAUAAUUGAAACUAAAAUGUGAAAAGUAAAUAAAAAAUUAAACCAUAGAGGGGAUGUUCCUUUAACCGAAUUNNNNNNNNNNNNNNNNNNNNNNNNNNNNUUAUGUAUGAUUUGUGCUUUUCUACUUCGCUAUCCAUUCCUUUUCUCUAUUUUUGAUUGCCCGCACAAGCUUGAUCCAUAAUCGCCUAGGUAUUGGAUAGGUGGCCCAAUUAAUGGAUUGACUUUGUUUUAUGCGACAAGUAUUGAUGUUGAUAUUGCUGUACAUGUCCAUGCCUCCUAAAUCUAUCUAUGGCCAUUUUGGAUUAUUUGUGAUAUUUCUCCAAUCCGAGAGAGGAAAUGAUAAGAUAGUGAAGAGGAAGAUGAUGGAAUGUAAAAUUCCAUCUAAAAUGGCAACUUCUAAUAUUUUGAAAAAAAAAGGGUAUAUUAAUGCCAACCUUGCAAUUUAAUCCCUCUACCUUGCCUCUUCCCGCAGAUAUAUAUACAUAGGAUCCCUCAAGGAGGUGUCACAUUGUAUCCUUUUCUGGCGUGCAAAGGACUUGCAUCACUAUUUCAUGCAACUAACAUAAGGAUUCAGCCUGUAUGUAUUGUCAAAAAUAGUAAUAUAAAAGAAUUCUAUUAAAAAAAUAUUAUUAUUCACUUUUUAAGUAAAAGUAAAAUCUAUGGAAGUAAAAAAAAAAAUCAUAGAAAUAAAAGUAAAAAAAUUCUAUGAACAAUCAAAUUUGGUUUUGGACAUCCAUUGAAUAGCACAGAGACAUUUUACGGGACCAUAGUAGUAAAAUUUGCUUGACCACAAUGCGGGUUUCUUCAUUCCUCUCCUUCACAACAAUCCCAUGGCUAUGCAAGCAUGGUAUAGAGAAAUUCACGUCAUUAUCUGAUGUUUGAGUGGAUUCUUUUUGUCGAGAAAGUUGAUUUGACCACGGUAUAGAAUAAAACCUUUUGACUCGGUCAAUCGAUAAAUUAGCAUCUUGGGUUCUAGCAUCAGCAGCAGCUUUUUGACUCGGUCAAAUGAUCCAGUUAGUGGUUACCUUUUGAUUUGGUCUCUCGAUGUGUGUUAGAGUUUUAACUUAAAAAAAUUAAUUUUAAAAAAUAAAUAUACCAGGCUUAUUUUUUAAAUUUUAAAUGUUUUAAGAACGUAAAACUCUUAUUAUUUUCUUCGCAUGCAUCUUUCAAAAUUGUUGUGAUUCUUUCGAAAAGAAGUUUGAUUUAGCUUUUCGUAAGGAUGCAAUGUUUCUGAAACAAUGUUUUUUUGGAAAUGUCACACCGGAAGGGAUGAAUCAUGUCCUUAGACUGUUGUUUAUUACAUGCCUCGAUUAUUAAGAUAAGUUUUUUUUCAAUCUUCUAAAUUUAUUUUAGUAAAUUAUUUUUUUAUAAAAUAAUGAUAUAGUAAUUCUUUUGGCAAUAGUUUUUCAACAGCGUGGAGACGCAAGGUUAGCAUUUUUUUUUGAUCUUCCGGCAGGAGCUUAAAUAUAUGGAAUCAACUCCUUCAGCCAAGUCAUUGCUAAAACUAUACUCGGUACGUGAAUUAUGCUCGGCAAACAUUCCUAUUUUCUGAUACAGAAGUCAUCAAUAUGCAAGCACGAACUGAGGGAAGAUUAGUGUUGAUUAGAGAGAAAAAAAAUACGUGUACAAGGUCACCAUCUAUGACUCGGGUAUUAAGAAAAUGGCCAACUUCAGGCGAUCAACAUGCGAACAGACGUUUCGGCUUCUCUGAAGUCGAAGUUGUCAUUUGAGUUGAAAGAUGGACGUAAAGACAAAAACCGAGAGCUGUGUUCCGGGUCUUUUAGAAAGGUGGAAUAUAUGGGAUGGUAAUUAUGACAAGAAAUGCUUUGUACGUGCAUGGAUGAAACAUGUUGCCGAUUUCAUGUUCUUCCUCCAUGUAUUUGUUUCAGCUAAUGCCUACUGAUGCGACCAUCACCAUUGAGGUCGACAUCUUUAAGCCAUGCCUUGAACUAUUGCUCAGUCAUAAUGUUGGGAGGAUUAUGAAGGUUAAGUACCAAUUAAGGUGGUUUGAGAAUUUACCAAAACUCACUACUACAUGGAGAUGAAGGAUUUGAUGGCUAUGGGAUUGAAGACUGGAAAUAUAUGUUAAGAUUAUUUAUAGACCCAAGACAAGCAAUCUGUAGCGAUGAAUAAACUACAGUAAGCAUUCUGCAAUGGUCUCUUGACUGCGAGACGAACCAAUACGAGACACCUGUCAUCAAGAUGGGGGCCAGCGAGACCCACAUUAGCAGAAUGGUUGCCAUGCGCCCCAACUCCCCAAUUCUUCUCAGGUGACGAGUGGUGAUUCCAUCUUAUCCGAUUCAUGCAGUCGCGGAAUUUAAAAUUGGUGGCCUCUUGAUGGGCUUGCCCAACCCGACUCGUCAAAAAAUAAAAAAAGGAAAAAUGAAAAAAGAAAAACAAAAGAGAAAAAGUUGGUGGCUCCCAAGUUAUUCUACAACUCAAAAUGCCAUCACAAAUCUUAAGCUAAGCUUUCUAAUGUAAAGCAAAUCUAAUAUUUCGGUUCAGAUGGGCAAUCGCAAAUAGUUAAAAAUGGCCCAUUCUUUUCAACUGAAAACAACAAGAACAACCUAUCUUUCAUGAGCAACUUAAUUGGCAGGGUCUAUCUUUCAUGCAAAAGAAGGAUUCACCUACUUUCACGUUCACCUUCUUUCACACAAAUCCACCGUUGGAUCUGGUCACUUUAAGAUCUAUGUAGGUGGGAAAAUGAUAUUCGGAGUACUCUGCAUGAUCUCAAAGUGCUUUGGAUCAUCCACUAGCCAUUCUUCUGCAUGCACAAAUAUCAAAUUGACUAGUGGAUGAUCCAACGGUGGAUUCAUAUGAAGGAAGAUGAAUCUUUUUUUCGCGCAAAAGAUAUAACUCCAAUCCUAGUUGCAUUUUGUCCGCUAAUUUAUCUGUAAAUAUGAUAACCUAUGUUUAAGUGCCACUAUCACCCAACUUUUUAGCCAUCUUUUCUCUCGUCCUAGUCCUCAAAGAAGAAAAAUAAAGAAGAAAGAAGCUAAUAAAGUUCGUAAAUGACAUAGAUAUAUAGCAAGCAUCCAACAUUCAAAUAAAAUCAUAUCAUACAUCAAUUAGAAACCGAAUAAUUUAUCAUGACCCUGGUUUGUGCUGACUUCUAAAGUACCAAAGCACUUGCUUGGCAUGGUCUUGAGAACUUUUAUUAACAUGUGGUCCUAGAAAAAAUAAAUUUUCAAAAUUUCUCCUUAUUUAUCUACAGCCAAGACUAAUUUAGAAUAAUUAAAGUAGAAGGGCAUUUUAAAGAUUAAAAAGAUAAAGACAGAAUUUUGAAGAGGAAUAAAAGCGUCUCAACCCAUUUAUUCUACAUCUGUCUACCCUAACAAUUAUUUGAGUACAGGAAGUCGACUACUUUUUUAGGGCUGAUAUUUCCAAAUAAAAAAUGUACCAGAAAUACUUUAAUUUUUCUUCACAUUAUGCUAUUUAAUCCAGGGAUAACUUACUCCAAGAAAAGGUGGAAUAAUUUAACCCACCAUCUUCCCUUUCAACUUAUUCUAUUUAACCUAAUUAUUCUGGAUUUUUUUUGUGCAAAAAAUGCAACCACAAGUAUAUCAUGCUUGAAAGUUUAUUUUAAUUUAUAUUAUAUAAAUGCUAGUGAUUUGCUAUUAUUGAUUAGAGUAAAUCAUGCAUCUGAUUGUUGAGUUUGGUUCAAAUGUUGAGCCUACUAAUAAGUUUUUGAAGGCUCGAUCGAUCCAAGCAUUACGUGUAUGUUAUGGGUGAGAAUCUCAGCCACUCAUGUCUUAUUUUUACCUCUGACAUUAUCAAAUGAUAGACUUUUUGAUAAUUUCAUUUAUGUUUGUUAGUGUUUACCUAAUAUUUGUUUAGUAGUUUCAAAAUAUAUGAAACAUAUUAGGGGUUGUUUCAAUAUUUUAUGGUUAGUAAUCUUAGAUUUUCAUCUUAUACUAAACUGGUUGAACGUGAAUGCUCAGAGAUUUUUAAUCCUUGGAAUAUAGCAUAUGAAACACAGUGAGAUCAUCAUGGAUUUGAUUACUCUGGAGCAAGAAUCACAAGCAAUCUAAGAUCGACAUAGUGACCAUAUUUGGGUCACCAAAUGCACUUUAGGUCUUUUUUUUGGUAUCUACAAUUUUAGAGCUUCUGUGCCAUAUAAGAAAUCAAUUAACUUCCCUUCUAGCCUUUACUAGAUGGGAAAGGUCCUUUUGGACCUUCAUCAUUUUCCACACUUUUCACUCCCUUGUCAACCAAAAGAAAGGGCAGAACACCAUCUGAAAAAUUUAAAAUUAAUGAGUAACCUAGCUUGUAUCAGACGUUCAUUCUUAUUUGCAACUUUUACUUUCCCACGACUUAGCAGGCUGUACUCACGUUAGAGUUAUAUGAAAUGAGUAGCCGCUUUUAACAAAAAAAAAAAAAAAAAAUAAAAAACUAAAACAAGUUACUUUCUAAAAAAUAAAAUGUUAAAUAAAGUAAUUACAAGCUAGGAAACCCCAGUUCAUAUAUUUAAACACGACAGAAGAAAGUUGACAUCGUAGCCUUAAACAUACUUCAUCGGGAGCUACUUCCACUUUUUUUUGACAGAUGAAGCUCUUCCGUUACAAGCUAGGUUAUUUAACACCAAACUAGAACUCGAGAAAAGCAGCAUAUAUAUAAGAUACAGUUCUAGCUAUUAUAGGAGGACAUAAUAUAGAGAACCUAAAGCCCGAGAGAUGGUAGGCUUGAUUAAUGGCACAUGCAUGUCGUGCCAUCAUGCCUUGACGACGAUAUCCCAGUGCUUGGCUGCAUGCUCUUUCAGCUUCUUAAUCUCCAAUUCACCAUCGAUGCAAUGGUUAUGGUUGAGGUCGUUCCUGAACACACCCAACCAUGCCCUCAGUGUUGCCCAAUUUAUUCCAAGAGCAUGGAGUGCUUGUUUCAGCUCAUGCCAGCUGACGAGGCCAUCUCCAUUGCUGUCAGCUGCUCUAAGCCACUCCCUGAACUGUUGCUCGGUCAUUUGGAUUGUCGAAUGGUUGGGAGUGUGCUGACCAGGAUUACCAACGCCAAGUGUCAUGGUGGUUUGAGAAAUACUAAAACUCACUACUGCAACCACAGGGAGAUGAGGAAUUUGAUGGCUAUGGGACUGAGGACUAGCAAUAUAUGUUACGAAUAUUUAUAGACCUAAGAGAAGCGGUCACUUGACUGGUAGACGAGUUAUUUAUGUGGGCCAGCGAGGCCCACAUUGGCAAUAAUGGAUGCCAUAUGCCCCAACUCGCCGAUUCUUCUCAGGUGAUGAGUGGUGAUUCCAUCUUAUCCGAUUCACGUAGUUGCAGAAUUUAAAAUUGGUAGGUUCUUGAUGGUCUUGCCCAACGCUGCUCCUCAAAAAAAGAAAAAGAAAGAAAAAAAAGAAAGUUGGUGGCUUCCAAGUUAUAUUCCAGAACUCAAAAUGCCAUCACCACCACAAGAAACUUGGACAUUAGCGACGCUUUUUUUGGCUAUUAGCGACGCCUAAAAGCGUCGGUAAAAAUCAUCCCGACGCUUUCCAAAGCGUCGGUAAAGCGUCGCCUAUGCUACAGUGGAAAAAAUUCCCGACGCUUUAAAGCGUCGCUCUUUUCCGACGCUUUAAAGCGUCGCAAAUUGCCGACGCUUUAAAGCGUCGCGAAUUCCUAUUUGCAAAAAAAAUACCAUUUGCGGUCUGCAUCUUCUCCUCCAUUCAGAAAUACAAACAACCUCCCCAAUCGGUACCUUCAUUCCAUCCGUGCAGAGUGGUUGGGUUUGACUAUAUAAACAGUUUUUUUUUUUAGAUCCACCGAUGUGGGAUUAAAAUGUGGUGAUUUUUUGGCUUCCGACGACGCUUUUAACGACGCUUUUAGGCGUCGUUAUUUAACAACGCAAAAAAGCGUCGUUAAAAGUGUCGUUAAUUACAUAUUAACUUCGACGACGCUUUUAAGCGUCGUCAUUAGCCGACGCUUUUAAAAAGCGUCGGCAAAUGUUGACGGGAAAAAUUUUUUGCCGACGCUUGGAAUAAGCGUCGGCAAAUAAUAGUCGGUAAUGUUCUUUUUUUGUGUAGUGCACAAACCUUAAGCUAAUCAUUCUGAUAUAAAUCAAAUCUAAUAUUGAGGAAAUUAUAAACAGUCAAAAAAAAAANNNNNNNNNNNNNNNNNNNNAAUCUCCCCUAACUUGAUCGUCAGAGGGCCCCCACUACCCCGGUGGUGGUGCGAGGCUUGCUUGCAGGUUUCCCGGCGGAAGGUGGAGCGCAACCGAAGUAAUUCCAAGGAAACCCCGUUCAUACCGCUGUGCCAAUCGUUCUCGGUUUGGACCCCCAGCAACAAUAAUAAUAAUAAUAAUAGCAAUAAUAGUACUAAUAAGUCAAACUCUUAAUAUCUAUCGUACGUUGAGAUGGUAGCAAUUAGCUGGAGAUGUAUUGAGAAGCAAGUGCAGCAUUUCUUCUUGAGUUCUAAUUGUAGCUUAAACAAACUCUUCUAAUAGAGAUAGAUGUUUGACGAAUUCAUGACCCCAGAAGCACCAAAGUCCUUGGGAUUUUUAAAAAAGAAAGGUGCAUGUUACGACGAAAACCGAAAGUUGCACCCAUCUUUUGGAAUUAUGCCUCAUAUGAGCGUGAAUGAAGCACGUCGGUAGUUUCGAUUCUCCUUAAAUUGUGGGCCACAAGAAUGCUUUUUGAGCUUGUUUUGCUAGCGAAGAUAUGAAUAAUUAGAAUACAUAUAAAAGAGAAAUAGUUGAAACUAAAAUGUAAAAAGUAAGUAAAACAAUAAAAGGGAAUGUUCCUUUAACCAUUUUCCCAACUUCAUUGUUCCGAACCUCCGUUUUAUGCAUGGUUUGUGCUUUUCAAAUCUGCUAUCCAUUGCUUUUCUUAAAUUGUUUUCCAAAUGGAUGAGCAGAAAAGAGCACUAAGCAUAGAGCACUAACUCCUUCAACCAAGUCAUUACAAAAGCCAUACUUGCUAUGCGAAUUUUGCUUGGUAUGUAUUCUUAUUUUCUGAUAUAGAAGUCAUCAAGAUGCAAGCACGAACUUGGGAAGAUUAGUGUUGAUCAGAGAAGAAAAAUACGUGCACAAGGUCUCCAUCUAUGACCCGGUAGUAAGCAAAAGAACAGUGUCAACUGAUCUUUUGAUUAAGAAAGAUGUGAAGGCAAACGCCGAAAGUUGCAUUCAAAUCUGUCCAAGAAAGAACUUACAUUCCUUUUCCACAAAAAUUUGAAACCUCAUAUUUUUUUAAUCGGCAUCUAGACUUAAAAAUUUUUGUUUCCGAAUGUGACCUGAUUCAGCUCCAAAUUCGGAUAUAGUUAGAUUUUAUUCAACCCAUUUUUAUCCCUAAAAUUUAAUAUAGAAUGAGAAAAUCAUCUCACAAAUCUCUCCAAGAAAGAACUUACGUACCUUUUCCACAAAUUUUUAAUCCUUAUAUUUUAAUCAGAAUCUAGACUUGAUUGGAUAAAAAAUUUUCUAUCCGAAUUUUGACCUGAUUCAAUUCCGAAUUUGGAUAUGGUUAGAUUUUACUCAUCACACUUUUAUUCCUAAGACUAAAUAUAGAAUGAGAAAAUCAUCUCAAAAGAACUCCCUCAAGACCAAAUCACAACCUAAUACAUUACAAGACAUUACAAAAUCUGGAGAAGGAAAAUAAAACAAAACAUGAACUAAUCCACUAAGCUAUCAUGUUCUUUCCAUUUUUUUUGGACUAUUAAUGAUCCAUUUAUUUUGAGAUAUCUCUUUUAGAAUGUUUAUUUAAGUUUUUUUUUUUUUUUGUAGAUGUGGUAAUAUUUAAAUCCUUCUGUCAAGAACUUCUUUAAUAAAACGAGAGAUAAAUAAGUAAAUAUACUACUUAUCAAAGCUGCAAAUUAACAUCUUGUAAUAUCAAUGAUCAUUCUAGGAGCAUAUUUCCAAAUUUUUUACUAAAACCUCUCAUUUUUUUAAGAUAACGGAAAUCAUAUUAGGAAGAGCUCUCACAGAUUAAGAUGAUCAGAAGCCACUACCGAGCAAAAGCUUGAUGGGAGGAAAAGAAAGCAAAUCGAGAAAAUCUAGUUCUAAGAUUCUUGUCCCCAAAAAAAAGGAAGAGUUCUAAGAUUCUUCAAAAUCUAGAAACGAGCAGUAUAAUAUCUCUUUCCACGAUCCUAGCAGGCCCAUGUCUUUUUGUGAGAAUAUAUGGGAACGACACCUCACUUCGGGACGUAAACGUGAAGAUCUUUAUGAUCUGAAUUAUGGAUGUGGGCUGGGCAUGGCUGAUUGAACCUCUUUUCUUUUUCUUUUCUUUCUUUGCAGUAGCACCACCACACAAACUUUAAAAUCACUGAACAUGACUUGUAUAAAGGAGUUCUCCUUAAGAAUUAUAAGGGGGUGAAAAAAGCUACUCUGGUUUUCUGUUUCAAAAUUAACAAGGUGUCCUAUCCAUAUUCAUUAAGAAUGCUCUUAUUAUCUUAAAUGACGUGGCCAUAUAUAAUUGGAAGUCAACUUGCUGUGAAGGAAUAGAGCAAUUUAAAUUUUUCUUCAACAACUAAUUAUAUUGCCUAAUAUAAAUUAGUAAUAUUUUUUUACUUUUAACAUUUAAGUAUUUAACCUUGCGAUGACACUAAUCCCCCUGUAUCACAUAGCUGAUAUCAUCAAAUGCCCUUCUUAUAUUAGAUACCUUAUCUUCCAGUACAUAUGACUGCCGAUGUCGCAAAAUUUAAACAGAUGUAAGUAAGAGCUGUAGUUCCAUAUUUUGGUAAAAUUUGCAAGGCAGGAGUAUUUAUGAGUACAUACAAUUAUUGUUAGGAUAGAAACUUUUUUAUAAGUAGGGUAAAUUAAAGGAGCCUUAUGAGCCUAGAAGGAAGUGAAAGCAAGGGGAUUUCGUUGAGAGGUUGGGGAGGAGGCUGUGGUGAUGAAAGAUUGUGUUGGAUAUGUUCGGUUUUCUUCUCAAAAUCAUCUUUCAUGUUUAUGGAUAUUCUUUGUCGGUAAUCUCUUCUACCAUUACCUACAAUAUUUACCCAAAGAAGAGUAUAUGUUUCAAAGAAGAGAUCCUACUUCGUAAAAGCUUAUACUAUGUUAUUAAUCUUAUUAAUCUUAUUCUUCAUCUUUAUCAUUGUUUAGCAAUAUUGUAUAUAUAAGAUCGUAAGAGUUUUUUCCUAAUAAUAAUUUGAGUACAGUCGGAAAACGAAUUGACGUUGAUGAUGAUUUGGUUCAUCAUAUAAUUUAAUUUAUGGUAUUUAACGAAAACAAUAGCUUCAUUCCGGUAUAUUGAUAACAGUCCUUCCAUUGUCAUAUGACGAACCCUCCCUUCUCUCUCCAUGCAUGCAUGCACACGCAGAGAGAGAUGCGCGCAUGACAUAAGAAAUUGUUCUUUCUCCAGCACGACGAAUCCUCUUUUGACGUCAACCUUUAUACUUUUCACUUUAUCCACCAAAAGAUGGGCACGAAGUACCAUUCUCUCUAGCCACCCAAGAAUAAAACAAACGAAUGAAGCCCCAAGCUAGGAAACUUCAGUCCAUGUAUAAGAACAAAAGGAGAAAAAGGUAGCACAGCGACCUUAAACCUACUUCACGAAAGAUCUUCCAUUACAAACUAGCUCAACCAACCUCAAGAAAGCAUGCAGUACAUACAAGAUACAAGCAUUCCAUUUAUUAUUGCAGGAUAGAUGUUAAGAACCUAAAACCGAAAGAGAUAAUGGAUUCAGUGUUGUCAUGCCACCGUGCCUUACUGACAAUGAUACCCUAGUGCUUCGCUGCGUACUCAGUCAGCUUCUUAAGUCCCGUUUGGUAGAGCUCUUGGUGGGGCAGUAAGUACUUUCUGACCCUUCAAAAAUACUUUUGAAUGGAAUAGAGGUGUUUGAUAAAAAUAUCAAAAUUAAAGCUAUUUUUGCUUUACUAGAAAGCUAAAACAACUUCUUAAGAAAAGCUCUAAAAUGGAGCUUCUUUGGAAAAAUACUUUUAGCAUACAUCGGAAACUUGUUUUGAUUUAUAAUUUUUUUUUCUUUUUGUACCAAAAUACCCAUGAUAAAAUUACAGAAAAUAUCCCUUUAUAUUUAUUAAUAUAUAAUAAUAAUAAUAAUAAUAAUAAUAAUAAUAAUAUUUUAUAUGUUUAUUAUUUUAUCAUACUAUAAAUAUAAUUAGAAAAAAGGCAAACAUGAUUUAUCUGAAUUUUUUUCAUCUUUUAAUGGAAAUAUUUCUUUGUGUUCUGAUAUAUGGAGUGAUCAUUGGCAAGUCCAUUCAUACAUGAGUAUCACAUGUCAUUGGAUCGAUGAUGAAUGGCAAAUGCAAAAAAGACUUAUUGCUUUUAGAGGUUUUGAUAAAAGACACACUGCUGAAAAUAUUUGGAAACUAAUAAAGUGUGUUUUGGAUGAGUAUAAUUUAGUUUAUAAAGUAUUCUUAAUUUCUUAUGAUAAUGCAUCAUCAAAUACUGUUUCAAUUUCUCAUCUUGAAAAACUUUGUAAACCUUCAUUUGGUGGUAAAUAUUUUCAUAUACGAUGUGCAUGUCACGUUUUAAAUUUAUGUGUUCAAGAUGCUUUAAAAUUUCUUGGUCAGUAUCUUCAGCCAAUUAAAAAUGCGUUAGAGUAUAUAUGGUUUCGUCCACAAAUUAUGAAGGAGUGGUUUUCUUUUUGUCGGCUUCAUAAUAUGAGGCCAAAAAAAUUUCCUAAAGAUGUUCCAAAUCGUUGGAAUUCCACGUAUGAACUUUUAAAUGAAACUUUUUCUUACAAAGAAUUAUUAUGUACUUUUAUUGCAAAUAAUGUUUCUAGUGUGGUUUUAUUUUCCCAGCAGUGGGAUGUUUGCAAAAAAAUUAUGACCGUUUUAAAUUUUUUUAAUAAUGCUACUAAUAAUUUAUCUGGUAUUUAUUAUCCUACUGCUCAUUUACUUGUUUUAGAAUGUGUUAAUAUUGCUGAUGUUAUUAAAACUUUUGAGAAAGAUAAUGAUUUGCAAGCUCCUAUUUCUGCGAUGAAAGUGAAAUGGCUUAAUUAUUAUAAAAAUAUUCCACCUCUUAAUCUUGUUACAUCUAUUUUUGAUCCACGUAGUAAAUUAGAUGGUUUGACAGAUUAUUUGCAUGCAUAUUAUAGUUGUUUAGGUCCUUUUGAAGAAGAUAUUGAUGUUUUAAAUACUAUUUUUACUAUUAAAAAUAAUAUUAUUAAUUUAUAUAAUGAGUACAAUGCAAAAUAUGGUAACAAUGUCACCCCUCAACAAUCCAGUAAUAUUGGAGGCAUUGGAGAUGUUGCAAAUCUUAGCACUGCACAGCAAAUAAUUUUGCAACGCCAAAAGCGCUCGAGGAGUUCAUCAAGUUCCAGUGUGGAACUUGAUUAUUAUCUAACCACUUCUUUUGAGUUUGGUGAUAGCAUUUCAGAUCAACAAUUUCCAAUAUUAAAGUGGUGGAAGGAGCAUUCAAACCAAUUCCCAAUCCUCUCAGCAAUUGCUAAGGAGAUUUUAGCUUGCUCGUGCUCAACCGUUGUUGUUGAGCAAACAUUCAGUAUUGGAGGUCAAAUCUUAGAUGAGCGACGAUCUUGUUUAAGGCCGAAUAACUUGGAAGCCCAAGCAUGUGUUGACGAUUGGAGAAAGGCAGAACGUAGAUUACAAGAUAACACAUUUGAGGACAGUGAAGACUUAUUUGACAUUGGAACUAGCGGAUGGUCUACAGCCGACAGCAAUGAUAGUGAUUGAUCAUUGAGGUAAGAGGGUUAAUUGCUCAACCAUGAAGGUAAGUGAACUACGAGGGCUUUGAUUUCUCUAAACCCCAAGAGGAUACGUAGACAGCUUAAUUUUAAUUAAGUUCAAGCCUAAUUUUUUCUUUUUUUCCCAUUUAUAAUAAAAUAAAUUAGUUUCAAAUUUAUUUAAUGUAACUUAUUAUUUUUUAUAAUGUUAUCUAGUUGUAUUAUUAAAAUUUAUUUUGAUAGUAAAUAAUAAAAUGAGGUACAAAUUAUCAUUUUGUAUUAAUUACACAAUCUAUUUGUAUUUAUAAUUUUUUUCCAAAUUAAUUACACAAUCUAUUUUUUUUCAAAAUUUUAUAAUUUAUGUUGAAAAAUCGAAACUGUUUAGAACCGGAACUGGAACCGUCUAGAACCGGAACCGGUGGUUCUAGAACCGGAACCGAACCGACUAUUUUCGGUUAUGGUUAAGGUUCCAGGUUUUUGUGGAACCGGAACCGGCGGUUCCAGAACCGUGGUUAGGUCUAUAUAGAGAGAGGGUAGAAGUACAGGAACGGUGGGGUGGUAGGGGUGAGUAUAAAUAGAGGGUGUAAUUAUAGGUAGGGGUGUAAUUAUGAUUGAAAUAUGCAUCUCUUUUUCACCCUUUUUUUUUCUCUUGUAGUUGGGUUGGAACCCUAAGAAAGACAUGUCCCUCCUAAAUGACAGGAAAAAGGUCCCUCUACAAAAAGAGAGUUCCAAUACAAACAUUUCCAGCCGUAAGAGAGAAAAUCAUUCUACAAAAGGCCACCACAUUUAAAUAGCAGUUAGAUGAUAGAUUUUAUCUACAAAAUUCACAAAAUUAAAAGGGGUAAAAUCUAUCAGAAACCAGUUAGAUGACAGAUGUUGAGCCCCCUAAUAAGUUUUUGAAGGCUCGAUCCAAGCAUGACGUGUAUGUUAUGGGUGAGAAUUAAUCUCAGCUGCUCAUGUCUUAUUUUUGCCUCUGAUACUAUCGAAUGAUAGACUUUUUGAUAAUUUCAUUUAUAUUCGUGGGUGUUUACCUAAUAUUUGUUUAGUAGUUUCAAAAUAUAUUCAACAUAUCGGGUUGUUUCAAUAUUUCAUGGUUCGUAAUCUUAAAUUUUCAUCUCAUACCAAACUUGUUGAUUGUGAAUACUCAAAUAUCUUUAAUCCUUAAUUAGAAUAUAGCAUAUGAAACAUGGCUAGAUUAACGUUGCAGAUUGAAUUACUCUGGAACAAGAAUCACAAGUGAUCUAAGAUCAACGUAGUGACCCCAUUUGGGUCACCAAAUGCCACUUUAGGUGUUUUUUUUUUGGUAUCUACAAUUUUGGUAGCUUCAGUGCCGGAUAAGAAAUCAAUUAGCUUCCCUUCUAGCCUUUACUAGAUGGGAAAGGUCCUUUUGGACCUUCAUCAUUUUCCACGCUUUUCACUCCCCUGUCAACCAAAANNNNNNNNNNNNNNNNNNNNCACAAGUGAUCUAAGAUCAACGUAGUGACCCCAUUUGGGUCACCAAAUGCCACUUUAGGUGUUUUUUUUUGGUAUCUACAAUUUUGGUAGCUUCAGUGCCGGAUAAGAAAUCAAUUAGCUUCCCUUCUAGCCUUUACUAGAUGGGAAAGGUCCUUUUGGACCUUCAUCAUUUUCCACGCUUUUCACUCCCCUGUCAACCAAAAGAAAGGGCAGAAGACUAUCCUGAAAAUUUAAAAUUAAAAACUAAAACAAGUUAUUUUCUCAAAAAUAAAAUGUUAAAUAAAGUAAUUACAAGCUAGGAAACCCCAGUUCAUAAGUUCAUAUAUUUUAACGCGAGAAGAAAGUUGACAUCACAACCUUAAACAUACUUCAUUAGGAGCUCCUUCCACUUUUUUUUGACAGAUGAAGCUCUUCCGUUACAAGCUAGGUUAUUUAACACCAAACUAGAACUCGAGAAAAGGGACGCAUACGUACGAGGUGAUUUAACCACAAGAAAAGCAGCAUAUAUAUAAGAUACAGUUCCAGCUAUCAUAGGAGGACAUAAUAUAGAGAACCUAAAGACCGAGAGAUGGUAGACUUGAUUAAUGGCAAAUGCAUGUCGUGCUAUCAUGCACUGAAGACGAUGUGCCAGUUCUUGGCCGCAUACUCUUUCAGCUUCUUAAUCUCCAAUUCACCAUCGAUGCAAUGGUUAUGGUUGAGGUCGUUCCUGAACACAGCCAACCAUGCCCUCAGUGUUGCCCAAUUUAUUCCAAGAGCAUGGAGUGCUUCUUUCAGCUCGCGCCCGCUGAUGAGGCCAUCUCCAUUGAGGUCAGCUGUUUUAAGCCACUCCCUGAAACUUUGGUCGGUCAUUUGGUUGGGACUGUGCUGACCAGGAUUACGAACGCCAAGUGUCAUGGUGGUUUGAGAAAUACUAGAACUCACUACUGCAACCACAAGGAGAUGAGGAAUUUGAUGGCUAUGGGACUGAGGACUAGCAAUAUAUGUUACGACUAUUUAUAGACCUAAGAGGAGCGGUCACUUGACUAGAAGACGAGUUAAUUAAGCAGGAGAUACCUGGCAUCAAGAUGGGGGCCAGCGAGGCCCACGUUGGCAAUAAUGGAUGCCAUAUGCCCCAACUUGCUGAUUCUUCUCAGGUGAUGAGUGGUGAUUCCAUCUUAUCCGAUUCAUGUAGCUGCAGAAUUUAAAAUUGGUAGGUUCUUGAUGGUCUUGCCCAACGCUGUUCCUGAAAAAAGGACAAAGAAAAGAAAAAAAGAAUACUUGGUGGCUUUCAAGUUAUUCCAGAACGCAAAAUGCCAUCCCAAACCUGAAGCUAAUCAUUCUGAUAUAAAUCAAAUCUAAUAUUGAGAAAAUUAUAAACAGUCAAAACUCUUAAUAUCUAUCGUUGAGAUGGUAGCAAUUAGCUGGAGAUGUAUUGAGAAGCAAGUGCAGCAUUUCUUCUGAGUUCUAAUAGUAACUUAAAAAACUCUUCUAAUAGAGAUAGCUGUUUGACGAAUUGACCGCAGAAGCACCAAAGUCCUUGGGAUUUUUCAAAAAGAAACCGAAAGUUGCACCCAUCUUUUGGAAUUAUGCCUCAUAUGAGCGUGAAUGAAGCACGUCGGUAGUUUCGAUUUUCAUUAAAUUGUGGGCCACAAGAAUGCUUUUUGAGCUUGUUUGGCUAGCGAAGAUAUGAAUAAUUAGAAUACAUAUAAAAGAGAAAUAACUGAAACUAAAAUGUAAAAAGUAAGUAAAAAAAUAAACCAGAGAGGGAAUGUUCCUUUAACCAUUUUCCCAACUUCAUUGUUCCGAACCUCCGUUUUAUGCAUGGUUUGUGCUUUUCAAAUCUGCUAUCCAUUCCUUUUCUUAAAUUGUUUUCCAAAUGGAUGAGCAGAAAAGAGCACUAAGCAUAGAGCACUAACUCCUUCAACCAAGUCAUUACAAAAGCCAUACUUGCUAUGCGAAUUUUGCUUGGUAUGUAUUCUUAUUUUCUGAUAUAGAAGUCAUCAAUAUGCAAGCACGAACUUGGGAAGAUUAGUGUUGAUCCGAAAGUUGCAUUCUGAGUCUUGUAGGAAGUGGAAUGUGUGUUGGCAAAGGCCAGUGUGGGCCGAGUCAGCAAGGCUCGCCCGCGGCGGAGGCCGGUGUGGGCCAAGUCACAAUCGAAUGCCGGAGGAGCGCUUGGGAUGGUCGGUUUAAAGACCAUGGUUAAACCUUCACUAUCACCUGCGGGUUUUAGUGAGAUGGCAGCGCCUACGGUCCUAACAGUAGUAACAGAGCCAGCAGCACAGAUUCNNNNNNNNNNNNNNNNNNNNNNNNNNNNNNNNNNNNNNNNNNNNNNNNNNNNNNNNNNNNNNNNNNNNNNNNNNNNNNNNNAAGUUGUUGGCGGAGGCCGGUGUGGGCCAAGUCAGUAAGGCUCGCCCGCGGCGGAGGUCGGUAUGGGCCAAGUCGCAAUCGAAUGCCGGAGGAGCGCUUGGGAUGGUUGGUUUAAAGACCAUGGUUAAGCCUUCACUAUCACCUGCAGAUUUUAGUGAGAUGGUAGCGCCUACGGUCCUAACAAUGCGAUGGUAAUUCUAGAACCUUAAGCUAACGACAAGAAAAACCUUAUAAGAGUAUGGACCAUGAAGCAUGUUGACGUAUCCAAAUAUUCAAAUCUGUCCAAGAAAGAACUUACAUUCCUUUUCCACAAAAAUAUGAAACCUUAUAUUUUUUAAUCGGUAUCUAGACUUAAAUUUUUUUCUUUCCGGAUGUGACCUGAUUCAGCUCCAAAUUCAGAUAUAGUUAGAUUUUAUUCAACCCUCUUUUAACCCUAAAACUUAAUAUAGAAUGAGAAAAUCAUCUCACAAAUCUCUCCAAGAAAGAACUUACAUGCCAUUUCCACAAAUUUUUAAUCCUUAUAUUUUAAUCAGAAUCUAGACUUGAUUGGAUAAAAAUUUUUCUAUCCGAAUUUUGACCUGAUUCAAUUCAAAAUUUGGAUAUGGUUAGAUUUUAUUCAUCACACUUUUAUUCCUAAGACUAAAUAUAGCAUGAGAAAAUCAUCUCAAAAGAACUCCCUCAAGAUCAAAUCACAACCUAAUACAUUACAAGACAUUACAAAAUCUGGAGAAGGAAAAUAAAACAAAGCAUGAACUAAUCCACUAAGCUAUCAUUUUCUUUCCAUUUUUUUUAGACUAUUAAUGAUCCAUUUAUUUUGAGAUAUCUCUUUUAGAAUAUUUAUUUAAUUAUUUUUUUUGACAUGUGGUAAUAUUUAAAUCCUUCUGUCAAGAACUUCUUUAAUAAAAUGAGUGAUAGAUAAGUAAAUAUACUACUUAUCAAAGCUGCCAAUUAACAUCUUGUAAUAUCAAUGAUCAUCCUAGGAGCAUAUUUCCAAAUUUUUUACUAAAACCUUCUCACUUUUUUAAGAUAACGGAAAUCAUGAUAUUAGGAAGAGCUCUCACAUAUUAAGAUGAUCAGAAGCCAGUACCGAGCAAAAGCUUGAUGGGAGGAAAAGAAAGCAAAUCGAUAAAGUGUUCUAAGAUUCUUGUCCCCAAAAAAAAGAAGAGUUCUAAGAUUCUUCAAAAUCUAGAAACGAGCAGUAUAAUAUCUCUUUCCACGAUCCUAGCACCCCAGCCAUCACCCCUUGGAGGAAAGACUCUAAGAUGUCUUGGAGUUCUUGAACUCUCUUGAUCAGAAAGAAAGAUUGAAUUUCUUAUACAAAGUCGUAAGGAAGGAAAUCAAAUGCGUUGUUUGAGAAGGAGAAAAAGGUAAGUAGGGCCUGACAAAGAAUAAGAAGAAAAGCUAUAGCAGGUCCAUAUGUCUUUUUGUGAGAAUAUAUGGGAAUGGCACGUCACUUCGGGACGUAAACGUGAAGACAACUAUUUUAUUCGACCCCUCUAACUUUUGUUAAAAAUUUUCAGGAAUGAUGAUGCAGCUAGCUCUGCAAUUAUUUAAAAUAAAUAAUCAAAAAUUAACCAGUUCAAAUAUUUGAGGAAGCAGACCUCUCAAGUUUUGAUCAUAGAACUCCAGAUGAAGUGGAUUUCAUAAGUAUAAACAACCACAAUCUUGAUCCACAAUCAUCUGUAAUGAAAACAUGUUGGCAGGCAUUAGAUAGCUGACCUUAUAAAUGGAUUGAAUUUAUUUUGAACAAGGAACAUUGAUAUUGAUUUUGUUCUCCAUUUUGAAUAUCCAUAUCUCCUAAAUCAAUCUAUGACCAUUUUGGUUGCCAGGUACCAUAUUUGUGCUAUCACCAAACUGAUCGAGGAGGUGAUCAUAAGAUGGUCAAGAGGCAGCGGUAAGAAAUGCUAACAAUUCCUUACAUUUCCUAAGAUGUUGGAAUACAAAAUUCCAUCUAAAAAAGCGACUUCUAAUAUUUUUUUAAAAAAAUUAUACAUUAAUGCAAACCCAGCAAUUUAAUCCCUCUACCUUCUCUCUUCAAUGUUUUCCCCGCGCAUACGUAGAACCCCUCAAGGAGGUAUCACAUUGAUAUUGGAUAUGUGUCCGAACAAGGCGUAGUAUCUUUUUCUAGCAUGCAAACCGCUUAAAUCAAUAAUCACUAUUUUAUUUAACUGACAAGGAUUCAGAUUGUAUUAUUGUCAAAAAAAUAAUAUAAAAAAUUCUAUAAGGUUAAUAUUGGACUUAACUACUAGGUCCUUGCCUUCAAUAACAAGGUGCAACCUCAACUAGCGGUCAGAACUCAGAAGGUAAAAGCAUCCAAUACAGAUUGCCCUAGAAAUGAAUAAAAAUAAUAUUUGAUAAAAAAAUCGAGGGCGUUCUUUCUAUAAAAUUCGUACAAAUAACAAUAAUAAAAUCUGUGAACAGCCAAUUUUGCUUUAGGGCAUUCAUUGAACACAUACAUGACUUUGAACAGGACCAUAGUGGUGCCUUGACUGCAUUGACCAUUGAAUUUCUUAAUUCCUCACCUUUACAAGAAUCCAAUGGCGAAGCAUGGGGUGUAAAGAGAAAUUCAUAUAAUUAUCAUAUAUUUAAGUGGAUUCUUUUUAGAUAAGAACUAGGGUAUAGAAUAAAACUUAUUGACUCGGUCGAGUGAGAGAUUGUGCAUCAUCUUGAGAUACAAUACCAACACAUUUUUGAGUCAGUCAAACGAUCUAGUAAAUUCCUCUCAUGGUGCAUUUUAUCUUAAAAGUGGUAAAAGAUAACGUAUUUAUUUCUUGCUCUAUCAAACAUGAAUAUAAUAGGUAAGAAUGCAUGUAAGAACCCAUGUAGGUAUGUAUUUAGUUCUAUAUAAGUCUUGCACUUGUAGAUCUUAGAUGCACGUACAAAAUCAAAAAAUCUAAAUAUUACUUUCCGGCUAGUAUUAAAGAUGAGAUCUUGGGGUAUUACAAAUGGAUCCAUUUGCAGCCGAUUACGGGCCGAUAGUGGUUGGAUUUGGAUCUUUGGCCCGGCGAGGUUUCUACAAUAGCAGUUUUUCUCUAGUUUUCACUAUCUACAUUUUUUGUUUUUUUUUGGAUCUUUAUGAUCUGAAUUAUGGAUGUGGGCUGGGCAUGGCUGAUUGAACCUCUUUUCUUUUUCUUUUCUUUCUUUGCAGUAGCACCACCGCACAAACUUUAAAAUCACUGAACAUGACUUGUAUAAAGGAGUUCUCCUUAAGAAUUAUAAGGGGGGUAAAAAAAGCUACUCUGGUUUUCUGUUUCAAAAUUAGCAAGGUGUCCUAUCCAUAUUCAUUAAGAAUGCUCUUAUUUUCUUAAAUGACGUGUCCAUAUAUAAUUGGAAGUCAACUUGCUGUGAAGGAAUUGUGAGGAUCUGUGCAGGCGUGUAUUUAGUUCCACAUCGGUUAUUCACUGGGUAGAUCUUGGUUACUUAUACAGAAUCAAGGAACCCAAAUAAUACCUUCCGACUAGCCAUUUUGGGUGAGGUUCUGGGUUGUUACAAUGGUAUCAGAGCGGACUCGGCCCAUAACCUANNNNNNNNNNNNNNNNNNNNAGCGGACUCGGCCCAUAACCUAUGUGGACUAGGGGACACCGCAGCACGGAUCUAUUGGGGCUGACCACGGGCCAAUCGUGGUGUUUGUGAUUAGAUUUGAAUAGAUUUGAACCCUUAGCCUGACGAGGAUAUCAGGGCUUGAACGGAGGGAGUAUGUGAGGACCCGUGCGGGCGUGUGUUUAGUCCCACAUUGGUUAUUCGCUGGGUAGAUCUUAGGUACUUAUACAGGAUCAAGGAACCCAAAUAAUAACUUCCGGCUAGCCAUUUUGGGUGAGAUCCUGGGUUGUUACAGGAAUAGAGCAAUUUAAAUUUUUCUUCAACAACUAAUUAUAUUGCUUAAUAUAAAUUAGUAAUAAUUAUUUACUUUUAACAUUUAAGUAUUUAACCUUGCGUUGACACUAAUUCCCUUGUAUCACAUAGCUGAUAUCAUCAAAUGCCCUUCUUAUAUUAGAUACCUUAUCUUCCGGUACAUAUGACUGCCGAUGUCACAAAAUUUAAACAUAUGUAAUUAAGAGCUGUAGUUCCAUAUUUUGGUAAAAUUUGCAAGGCAGGAGUAUUUAUAAGUACAUACAAUUAUUGUUAAGACAUAGUGAAUAGAAAAUUUUUUAUAAGUAGGGUAAUUUAAAGGAGCCUUAUGAGCCUAGAAGGAAGUGAAAGCAAGGGGAUUCGCUGCGAGGUUGGGGAGGAGGCUGUAGUGAUGGAAGAUUGUGUUGGAUAAGUUCGGUUUUCUUCUCAAAAUCAUCUUUCAUGUAUGUGAAUAUUCUUUGUCGGUAAUCAAACCCUAAUACCAUUACCUACAAUAUUUACCCAAAGGAGAGUAUAUGUUUCAAAGAAGAGAUACCUGUUUCGUAAAAGCUUAUACUAUGUUAUUAAUCUUAUUCUUCAUCUUUAUCAUUGUUUAACAAUAUUGUAUAAGAUUGUAAGAGUUUUUUCCUAAUAAUAAUUUGAGUAUAGUCGGAAAACGAAUUGACGUUGAUGAUGAUUUAGUUCAUCAUAUAAUUUAAUUUACGGUAUUUAACGAAAACAAUAGCUUCAUUCCGGUAUAUUGAUAACAGUCCUUCCAUUGUCAUAUGAUUAGAGGUGGGCAUUGGGCCGGGCCGCCAUGGUCUGGCACGGCCCGGCACAAAGCAGGCCGUGCUAGGCACGGCCCGCUUGCUAUAGUAACGGGCCAUGCUAGGCACGGCUCAUAAAAGGGGGCCAGGCUGGAUUAAGGAUUUCUGGCCCGCGGGCCGAGCCCGGCACGGCUCAUAAGGGCCUGGGCUGGCACGAUUCGUGGGCCAAGCACGGCACGGCCCGUUACAAUUUUUUUCCCAAAAUACCCCUCAAAUUAGCCGCUUUAUGGCUGUUGGAAGGGGCAAAAUGGGUAAAAAGCCACAAAACAGACGGCCCGUGCCUGGCACGGCCCGUCAGCCCACGGGCCUAGGGCCGUGCUGGGCUUAGCCUUUAGGUUAAGUGCUGGCACGGCCCGUUUAGUAACAGGCCGGGCCAGGCACGAUCCGUUUAGUCUGUGGCCCGGUGGGCCUGCCGGUCCGGCACGGCCCGAUUCCCAUCUCUACAUAUGUCGAACCCUCCCUUCUCUCUCUACGCAUGCAUGCACACGCAAAGAGAGAUGCGCGCAUGACAUAAGAAAUUGUUCUUACUCCAGCAUGACGAAUCCUCUUGACGUCAACCUUUAUACUUCUCACUUUAUCCACCAAAAGAUGGGCAUGAAGUACCAUUCUCUCGAGCCACCCAAGAAUAAAACAAAUGAAUGAAGCCCCAAGCUAGGAAACUUCAGUCCAUGUAUAAGAACAAAAUGAGAAAAAGGUAGCACAGCGACCUUAAACCUACUUCACGAAAGAUCUUCAAUUACAAACUAGCUCAACCAACCUCAAGAAAGCAUGCAGUACAUACAAGAUACAAGCAUUCCAUUUAUUAUUGCAGGAUAGAUGUUAAGAACCUAAAAUCGAAAGAGAUGAUGGAUUCAGUGUUGUCAUGCCAUCAUGCCUUACUGACAAUGAUACCCUAGUGCUUCGCUGCAUACUCAGUCAGCUUCUUAAGCUCCGUUUGGUAAAGCUUUUGGUAGGCCAGAAAGCACUUUCUGACUCUUUAAAAACACUUUUAGAUGGAAUGAGAUGUUUGGUAAAAAUAUCGGAACGUUGUUCUUAUUUUACCAGAAAACUAAAACAACUUCUUGAGAGAAGCUCCAAAAUAAAAUUUCUUCGGAAAAGCAUUUUUAGCAUACGUCGGAAAGCUGUUUUGAUUUAUAAAUUUUUUCUUUUUUUACCAAAAUACCCAUAAUAAAAUUACAGAAAAUAUCCUUUUAUAUUUAUUAAUAUUUAAUAAUAAUAAUUAUUAUAAUAUUUUAUAUCUUUAUUAUUUUAUCAUACUAUAAAUAUAAUAUAAUAUUAUAUUAUAUUAUAAUACAUUAAUAUGUUAUGUUAUAUAAUAUCAAAUUAUGUUAUAUUUUUAUGCUAUAGUAUACAAUAUAUAUAUAUAUAUAUAUNNNNNNNNNNNNNNNNNNNNNNNNNNNNNNNNNNNNNNNNNNNNNNNNNNNNNNNNNNNNNNNNNNNNNNNNNNNNNNNNNNNNNNNNNNNNNNNNNNNNNNNNNNNNNNNNNNNNNNNNNNNNNNNNNNNNNNNNNNNNNNNNNNNNNNNNNNNNNNNNNNNNNNNNNNNNNNNNNNNNNNNNNNNNNNNNNNNNNNNNNNNNNNNNNNNNNNNNNNNNNNNNNNNNNNNNNNNNNNNNNNNNNNNNNNNNNNNNNNNNNNNNNNNNNNNNNNNNNNNNNNNNNNNNNNNNNNNNNNNNNNNNNNNNNNNNNNNNNNNNNNNNNNNNNNNNNNNNNNNNNNNNNNNNNNNNNNNNNNNNNNNNNNNNNNNNNNNNNNNNNNNNNNNNNNNNNNNNNNNNNNNNNNNNNNNNNNNNNNNNNNNNNNNNNNNNNNNNNNNNNNNNNNNNNNNNNNNNNNNNNNNNNNNNNNNNNNNNNNNNNNNNNNNNNNNNNNNNNNNNNNNNNNNNNNNNNNNNNNNNNNNNNNNNNNNNNNNNNNNNNNNNNNNNNNNNNNNNNNNNNNNNNNNNNNNNNNNNNNNNNNNNNNNNNNNNNNNNNNNNNNNNNNNNNNNNNNNNNNNNNNNNNNNNNNNNNNNNNNNNNNNNNNNNNNNNNNNNNNNNNNNNNNNNNNNNNNNNNNNNNNNNNNNNNNNNNNNNNNNNNNNNNNNNNNNNNNNNNNNNNNNNNNNNNNNNNNNNNNNNNNNNNNNNNNNNNNNNNNNNNNNNNNNNNNNNNNNNNNNNNNNNNNNNNNNNNNNNNNNNNNNNNNNNNNNNNNNNNNNNNNNNNNNNNNNNNNNNNNNNNNNNNNNNNNNNNNNNNNNNNNNNNNNNNNNNNNNNNNNNNNNNNNNNNNNNNNNNNNNNNNNNNNNNNNNNNNNNNNNNNNNNNNNNNNNNNNNNNNNNNNNNNNNNNNNNNNNNNNNNNNNNNNNNNNNNNNNNNNNNNNNNNNNNNNNNNNNNNNNNNNNNNNNNNNNNNNNNNNNNNNNNNNNNNNNNNNNNNNNNNNGCAAGUAUAGAUUGGCUACUUACAGACCAUGGUCAGUGAGGUGGAGGCCAGUGAGGUCCACAUUAUCAAUAAAUGAAGAAUAUAGCUAAAUAGCCAAGAUACGUGGCAUUGAGGUGGAGGCGUGAGGUCCACAUCAUCAAUAAUUGAUGCCUUAGAAACCCACUUUCUGAUUCUCCUCAGGGUGAUCAUGACUGGUGCGAUUCCUCUCCUUUAAGCAUUGCUCCAUCUUAUCCCCUUCCUAUGGUGUCUUAGGUUAGAAGGCUGCCAAAGCACUGAUGCCUGGCUGCACUUCAUGUCUAGGAUCUAAAAAUUGUUACAGAACAACCUUCGGCUAGGCUUUUAAAUCUGGAGCAAGUCUUGUAUUUCUAUUUAGGUUGAUAGAUAAUAAAGUCGAAAUUGAUCCAUUGUCUCCAAGAGAAAAAGAAAAGAGCAAAAAAGAAGAGGGGAAAGAAGAGUACUAUUAACUCUCGAGAUCUGUUGAGACGCAAGUGUAGCAUUUCUUUGGAAUCUUAGUAGCAGCUUAACUCCUUCAGUCAAGUCAUGGAUCAUUACAAAAACCGUAGUUGAACGACAUAAUACCUAAAUAGAUUUCUCUGAUUUCCGUUGUGUAAGAUGCCUAUUUUUUUGUGACUCUUUGUGUGGGUGUUUAUCUAUUGCUUCUUUUUUUACGUACAAAAAAAGCCAUAAGUAAUGGCAUUCAUUUGACGUAUAAAUUAUGGAUAGGGAAAAACCCAAUAGGCGAUGUCUCAUGUUUCUCAGAUAAUUUAAAUUACACUAGGAAGUGCUGGCUUGUAUGAAGAUUGAGAUGCUCAAAAGCAAUCAUUGGGGAAAUGCCUGAUCAACAAGAUUACAAUAAUUUGACUCCCAAGAAUCUUCAACAAAGGAAUGAGAAUACAGAUGGAUAAAGAGUCCCAGUAAAGAUUCUUCACAAUCUGGAUGGCAAAAGUGCUUGAUGUAUUUUCAUCAUUCUAGCUCCACAAACUUAAUUUUUGACUAGCUCAAUUUGCUAGAGAGGUUUAUUACAAGUCUUUUGAUAGAAUAUAAGAGGAUUCUUCAAUCAAAAAAAGAGAGGAAUAUAAGAGGAUUCCAUCAUCUAUGGGGAUUUAAAAGAGUGGUGUGAUGCCAAAGCCAAAAGGAGAGCGUGAAAAAAGUACAGUUUGGGGGGAAUAAAAAAGAAGAGGACAAAAUAAUGUUAUCCAAAUAUCUUCACAAGAAAAUGUGCUGUCAUUCUCUUAUCGACUUAACUUAUCAAAGAAUAUGUGCAGUCAUUAUAGAAUGUGUUAAAACUCUUCAACUAUUGGAUUUGUAAUAAGAACAUGCUGAUAGGCUUAGGUAGAUAACCUUGUUAUGGAUUUUUUAAGCAAAGUCUAUUAAAAUGGAUCUUGUUGAGCAUUCUGGAAAACAAAGUCAUCUAAAGAUUUUCUCCAAAGAAAGAAAAAAUGAUCUUCGAAAGAUCUAUGACCCUAUUGGGAGCUCAACAAAUAUAUCCUCUUUGAUAUCUCCAAUACAAGUGGAAAGGAAUGAAGAGAGGAUGCGACAAACUUAGGCAAUUGGGAGGGGCAUCAAAGGAUGACAACCUCUUGCAUUUUCCAAGAUACGGGACUAUCAAAUUGUAUUUACACUUGAGUUUUGGAGUACUCAAAAGUAGUCAUGACAAACCAAUUCAACCUUACUUUUGAAUCUCUCAACUCUCUUCAACUUUUUUUUUUUUGUUAUCUAUUUUAUUUUAGAUUUUUUUUGCAUGAAUACCCUUCCAAAAUUGAUAUUUAAAUAUAUAUCCUCGUAAAACAUUUGUUUUGCUGUUCUACUUCUUUUUUUAUUAUUGUUUUUGCAUAUGUAUCCAUGCUAUCUAACGGCGUUAAAAAAUUAACGGUUUCAAAUUAAAAUGACUAAAAUACCCUUAAUACGUAGACGUGCAAAUAGAAAUAUUUAUAAGGGUAUACACGCAAAUAGCAGCUUUGGAAGGGUAUUCAUGUAAAAUUCGAUAUUUAGGAGGGUAUUCAUGCGAAAAACUCUUUUUUUUUGGAUUAAAGUGGGUGGUUUGUUCGGGCACAACCCCAACCUUAUAUCGGGUUACUAAAUUAAAGGUAUAUAGUCCUCACACUCUCAACCAGAAAAAAGUAGAGAUAUGUUAUCAGAAUUAAGACCCAUCCAUUAAAAAAACAAAAGCACACACGAACCAAGCUCAAAGAAACAAUCAGGUACUACCAGCACUUAGCUGGACUUUGACAUCACUUUUUUAUUUUAUUUUAAUAAGCAAAAAAUAAAAAUUUUGUUGCUAUUUUUAAAUUUUUGAAAAAUUAUAUAUUUUAAACAAAUAUGGUGAUGGCGGUAGAAAUGGUGGUAGCUAGAGUGGAAUCAGCUAAAAUGAUAGCGAUGUUGGUAGCAAGUCGAAUGAUGGUACAGAGAAGGUGACGACAAUCAAGAUAGUGGUAUGGAGGAGAAGGUAAUGAGAGUAUCGAAAAUGGCAAUGAUGGUGACAACUAUGGCGAACACCAACAAUGUAACCAGCACAAUGAUGAUAGCAGCGACAAUAUAGUAGAAACAGUGACGACAACAACAAUAGCGAUGAUAGGGUCACUGUGAUAUCGAAAUAAACUCAUGGAUAUUACUUUUAGAGCAUUUAUUUUUUCAAAAUGCACCAGAACUCCAAAUUCUCCUAUGUUCCAUAUUUUAAAGUCUUAAAUAUGCACUUGUGGAGCUUGCUGUGGUUGCACCUGGUGGGCGGACAGGCCAAGAAAAAAAAGUAGAGGGUCAUCUAAUUGCCAUUUUUAGAACACCGCACAUAUCCCUUGACAAGCAAAAAAAAAAAAUAGCAACAACGGAACGCAAACUUUGUUUUAUUGGGAUCUCACAAGCACCAUUCGCGAUCACGAUCGUCCGCGGGAUCGCAAUAGCAGGAGAAGAAGACAGAAACAAUAACGUAAUUUUAAAAUUUUAUUUUAUUUUAAUUAAUAUAAAUAUGAUUUUUCUUAACACUGUUAGAACAAUCGUUAUAUUAGGGGCAUUUGUAUAAUUAUAGAGUUUUACGAGGAUAUACAUGCAAAUAUUAAUUUGGAAGGGUUUUUAUGUAAAAUUUGAUAUUUAGAAGAAUAUUCAUACAAAAAAUCCUUUUAUUUUUGAGAAAAAAAGGUCCAUCUUCAUCCGUCCCUAUUUAUGAAAUACAAACAUUAAUUAAGAGGCCUCAAAACCUUUUUUAGAUAUGCAGGAGAUAUUUAUCAACAUGGUGGAUACAUAUUCAGAUAACAUUAAUUGGUGUCCUCUUUAAGAAUGCGAAGAGAUUGGUUCACUAUUGUGACACAAACAAAAUUUUAAGAGUAUUAACUAUCAAAAGUAAUAAUGUAAAAAUAAUUUAUAAAAAAGAUUACUAUUGUCGUUAAUUUCUGAACCGAGGUUGGAACACUGCUCGGCUUGCUUUGAGGUUGGUACAAACCAAACUGAAUAAGGUUGGAUGAGACCAAUGUGAGAAAGCACUGGUCACAUUCGAAAUUGAGCUGCAAGAAGUCCACUUACUAGAAAUUUCAGGCGAAGAAUCCUCCAAUGCCUAAGUUAGAAUAAUAUAGCAACAAUGUAGAAGGAAGAAAAUUUGUAUAAAGGAGUCUCCAAAUAAGCUUAUUUUCUCAGGCUACCCAUUUAUAUAAGGUAGAAUAUUGAUCUAUUACCUGAUUUGGCACGACGUGCUUUAAGUGCAAGGUAAUAGUCGGCCGCACCUUAACAACGUAGAAAGUGUCCUAUGCGAGCAGCACGCGGCAGUAAUUACACCGAUCAUGCAUUAACUGCAGUGUUAUCAUUACUGUCGGUCUUUAUUAGCACAUGCAGAGUGGUACCUCAGUUAAUACUGAGGUCAAAGAGGUUAGUCUAAUCCGAAAUCAAGAUGUCCAUUAUUUUUCCCAUUAAUUACUAUUUUUAAUUUCAUAAAUAAAGGUUUAUUUUUAUUUUUGCAGAGCAUUUAUUCUGGAUUUGCCUAGAAUUGUAUAAGAUUCUUGAGUAAUGAAUAAAUUAAUCCUUUACUAAAGUAAAACAUAGUUUUUAACAUGUGCAAUGCACGUGGCUCCUCAAGCUUAGAAUUAAGAGAUAGACAUUUUUCUUUUCCAGAGAAUCAAAAAGGUUAAAGGAUGCUUGAAGUUGGUUCCCCUGCACCUAAAAAAUAGUGCAUGUGCACCUCUUUUUCACCCUUUUUUUUUUCUCUUGGAGUUGGGUUGGAACCCUAAGAAAGACAUGUCCCUCCUAAAUGACAGGAAAAAGGUCCCUCUACAAAAAGAGAGUUCCAACACAAACAUUUCCAGCCGUAAGAGAGAAAAUCAUUCUACAAAAGGCCACCAUAUUUAAAUAGCAGUUACAUGAUAGAUUUUAUCUACAAAAUUCACAAAAUUAAAAGGGGUAAAGUCUAUCAGAAACCAAUUUUGCUUUGAAAUUUCACUAACAUGCAUAAACAAAUUUUCAGAAGGGUCAAAAGUAGGGGUUUGACGACGAGGACUAGAGAUUUUGUUUUCUCCACUACCACCACAAGAAUCGAAUGGCCAAGUUACUGAUACAGAGGGUAAUUCACAUCAUUAUCAAUAUUAAAGUGGAUUCUUUCCCACUAAGAAAUGUUCUUGAACAAAGUUCAUUUAACUAGCAAAAACAAAGAAAAAAUGAUUUGGUAAAUUGAUAGAUUAUGCUGCAUCGUAUCUUGAGACACUAAAUUUAGACCUCUUUGAUUCAAUCAAGGCUCCAAUAAACUUUCCUCAUAGUACAAGUCACAUAAAAUGGUAAAAUGUACUAUACUCCACCUUCAAGAAAAAGAUACAAUACAUUUUUUUCUCAAAAAAAAAAAAAAAACAAACGUCUAAUAUGGGAAACAAACUGGUCCCAUGGGACAGCUGCUGUUCAUCUUUCUCUUGAAAGCAUAGGAAACAAUUCAGGAAUGCACAAACUAUUUCAUGUUCCUACAUAAAAUUUGAAAUUCCUGAAACUGGCUACCAUAAUAAAAUUAAUUAUAGUUAAUGCAAAUUAAGUUCUCACUAUGUCAUUGAUUAUCUGAAAUACAUGCAAAUCCGACAAUACCAAUCUGAUAAUUCUCAAGAUAGUUUAAAUCAUAUUAGGAAGUGCCAGCAUAUAUGAAGAUUGAGAUGCUCUAAAGCAACUACGGGGGAAAAGCUUGACCAACAAGGUUAUAAUAAUUUGGGAAGAUAGCUUGAGAGCGAGAGCAAAAUAACUUGGGAAGACAGAUUGGUACAGAAGUUGUCGUUCGAAAUGUUGAACAUUAUCAAAUAAGCCCAAAAGAACAUGAGGAACUUCAAAAGCAGGUUUUUAAACUUCUUAAGAAAGGUUUCAUUCAGGAGAGUUUGUCCAUGGACCGUACUAGCAUUCCUAGCUCAGAUCAAAAAAGGAUGCAACUUGGAGAACAUGUGUGGCCAGCGGGGUAUAGAUAAGAUAACUAUUGAGUGCAAACUUUCUAUACCAAGAUUGGAUGAUAUUCUUGAUAUGCUAACAGUUCCCAAGUCUUUUCUAAGAUUGAUUUGAUAAGCAACUACAAUCAUAUCACAAUUCAAGAAAGAGAUGAGUGAAAGACAGCAUUCAAAAUAGUGGGGAAAAAUGAAUGGCUGGUGAUGUCAUUUGGACUUUCUAAUGCACCUAGUAUUUUCAUGAAAUUCAAGAAUCAGGUUCUUAAAUACUUCAUUAGGAAGUUUGUAGUAGUUUAUUUUGAUGAUAUCCUAAUUUACAGCAUGGAUCAACAAGCUCAUAUUGAACAUUUAAGGGCUAUCAAGAAAAGUUCCUUUUCCUUUUUUCUUCCAUUAAAAUCACAAGACAGAGAAAAGAUCAGAGCUUUAACAAAGCUGUAAUUUUUCUUCCUUUUUUCCCUACUUCAAAAGCUCUUAUUUCUUUCUUAAUAUGUUGGUAUUGUUUCCCAUAAUAUAGGAGUGGAGAUAGUACUGCGCUAGAUAGAAAGAUAUCCUACUAAACAAAAUAAGAGGAAGGUUUGGUUGCUGAUUGUCCCUUCUUCCUGAAUUACUUCCCCAUCCCUCAAUGUCUUCUUUCUUUUCAAAGUGCACAAACAUAUAUUUAAUCAACCAAGAAACAAAAACACAAAUGCUAAUUCCUAAAACUGGAGCUCUCCUAUAAAACAUCAGAAACAAUGCCAACUCCAUCAAGUAAUGAAACCAAACAGUAUCAAAUAGAAAAGGAAAUAGUCCUUACCGAUUCCAAGGCAAGGAACGCACUUUCAGACCAUCUCGCGCCCCCCUUUUUGUUAUAGUAGCUAACGAACCCCGUCCCCUAGCAACUCCUGCACUUGCCCGUCCACUCAUAUACCACUUCCUUACAAUCCUUCAAGAAAUAAAAAACCACCAUUUAAUGAAUCAAAACAGAACCUUUGAAGAACAAGAAGAGUUUAGAAGCAGAGAGGAACCUGAUCAUUGGGAUCGCACCGGAGACGGCGGGAGUUGGGAUCGGUCAUGGGAAGGGGGAGGGCAUCGAAAUCGUCGGUCAAGUUGCUCUCGCAUGCCAAGAUCCAUGCCUAGCUAUCACGCGACUAUGUUUUACAUUCUCACCAAAUUACCGAUAUCUUGCCUCCCGUUCUUAAGAUGGAAAAGCUGUUUAAUCUUCCGCGAAGCUGCUCGUCGGAACGGAUUGCAAACCCUUAAAGCCGAACAAUUCCUACACUCGAACUGGAGACUCUAUUAAGUAUAAUAACUUGUUCUGUCAAACUUCCACUCUUAAGUGAGUUGCAACUUCAUCUUUUUCUACUGAAUGUUAUAUUAGCAUAGUAUUUUACAUGUUGAGUAUGAUUGUGUGCACAUUGCAAACUUCACCUGAAUUGAGCCUCAACACAACCAAUACUUCAUCUGGCUUCUGGAAAUUUGAUGACUGAUUUUGCUCUCGCAACAAUUUUUCGUUGUUGCUAUAAAAAUUUAAUUGUUGGACUGCAUCAAGAAGCUAAAUUGAAAGAACAUGAAACUGAGAGAUGAUGAUGGAAGAAAUAAUAAUGAGGCCCGUGGCAAAAAGGACCGAGAACAAGCUGCAAGAAGUCUAGAAAAUUCAUUAUACCGCAAUAUGGAGACCUCGUUGGAAGUACGGUCUUCGAAAAAUAUCUUAAGGCUGGCACAUAAGAAGUACUAAGAUAACCACCAAUUCUUCACCUAUGAAUGGAGCCACUGGGAACACAGUGAUUCACAUGUUUGUAUCUCUGCCGUUGGAAAAAGAAUUAUUCUCCCUAAGAAAAUGAAUCAAUGAAUGCUUUUAUAAGGGCUGCAAGGAGCAUGGAAUAGCAGAAAAAGAUACGAAAGAAAAUAUUGGGAAAUUAAUUCAAACAAAAGAUUUUCUGCCUCAUUAUUCAUGCACAUUCGGUUAAUUACCAUUAUCCGCACAUUAUAAUGGCCGGCUGCAAACAUGCAUACAACCAAAAGUCAUCCAGGUCGAUUUUAGCUUGUUUGGAUAACAAGUCAUCCAACACAAGGAUUUCCUCCCUCGUAAAAUUUUAUGCAAACACUAGUAAACUUGACUUAAAAUCUUCAUUAGGAUUCCAUCUCUUCAUUCCCUAGGGUCUGGCUGCAUUCUACUUCAUGUUUCCCUGGGAAUUUGGCAACAUCUUGAUUAAAUCCGAACCAAAGCCUUAGGGGCAGUCAUCUUCUCCUUCAUGUUUCCCAUGGGAUUUGGCUAAUUCAUGCCUAUAACACGAGGAACAGCUACUUCCGGAAGUAGCCAAGAUAAGAAUGGACCAAACGUAGGGAACAUUCAGCUACAUUCCACAUCAUGUUUCCCUUGGGAGGGUGGGGGAGGCGAAGAUUGAAGGGGAAGAAAGCAGUUACAAUUGCCUGCCUGCCUGCAUCUUAAGCCGGAACGUAAGAUUCCAGCAACAAUUGUGCAUGAGAUGGCGACUUAAUCUCAACAAUCAGGUAUGUGAACUUCCACUUCCUGUCAGCAUGAUCUCUGAACAUUUCAGCAUACACCUUUCCAGAUCCAUGUGGUCCACGAAUAUAGAAGUUUACCUGCAUGUUCAUUAAAUGUCAGUCUGAUCUACAUUUCUACUAUUUUCAACUAACUUGCCAAGAGUAAAACAUUUCAAAAAACAGUAAAUAGUGGCAAUAAUGCAGGUUGAUGGGAACCCUUGUUCCACUCCUUAUUUGGGAGUGGUAAAAUCAAACCAAGGAACAAAAAGGAAUAACAUGAAUCUUGUAACAAAGUAUUUCAUAAGUACCAGUGAGGUGUUACCUCGACAUGUUCGAUUCCAUCUUCGUCAGUCCAAACCCUAUUGGGAAUACGUUGGCGAGCAGCACGGUUUCUGCUUUCCUGGCCAUAGCCACUAACAGGGGAGCCAAUUCUUACUGUAACCUGACGAGGCCAACCAGAUAACAUGAAUAGCAUUUAUGAGAAUUCCUCCAAGAAUGAGAAGGCAGCAUGAAAUGCUGUGACAUAAUAUAAACUCGAUAUGGAACAACAGUCAGAGCCUACUACAAACCUGACUAUCUUUCUGAACCCGUUCAAGAGCCUUUCCGAAAAUCUUGUACCUAUACAAGAGAUAGAAGGCAAAGAUACAUUAAAAGUGCUUGUCUAGACAGUAUCGAGCAAAGCAGACCAUUAAAAAAGGAGAUAUUGUACGUAACAAAAAUAUUAUUAGAAAACAAAAUUUUGCUCGGGAAUUUUAAUGAUACUCUACUACUUUUGGCAGUAAUGCUCAUCUAGACAAGUAUCGAGCAAAACAGACCAUUAAAAAAGGAGAUAUUGUACGUAACAAAAAUGUCAUUAGAAAACAAAAUUUAGCUCAGGAUUUUUAAUGAAUUCUCUACUACUUUUGGCAGAAGAGAACAGAACAAUAUACAACCUUUUCAAAUUAUAUUUAUUUUUUCGCAUCGUGCUCAAAUCUAGGUUUUUUAGCACCCUUUUCCUUUAUUCAAAAGGAUCUAUAGGUGAGUCACUUUGUUUCCAACUUCUAAUUUUCACAAAGCAACAGAUAUGAGUUUGUUAGAAAAUUUUGAUCAUGUGGUACACACCAGACCUUGUAGAUCAAAGAUUUAUUGGGCCCAGAUUCCUAGCAAUGGAUCUUUCUUGCACUGGUCUCAAUUCAACUAAUACAUAUAGGUAUUCCCGAAUUGCUAUGAUCUGUAUAUUGCCUGAACUUUUUGCCACAGAUCUGGAUUUUAAAAGAAACAGUUCCAACAACCACAAAAAGAAAUACCACUUCAUGAAUAAUGAAAAUUUAGUGUAAUUAUGUAGAAAGCAAAUGUGGCUCAUUAAUCAGGGCCAACCAAAUUAUAUGAAGCCAAGUGAAGUGACAAUAUUCAACAAUAUUGGAAAGUCUGAGUAUAAUUGUGCAGAUUAGUAGUAGGAAGACUGCCCUGACGUGUGUAACAGACAUCAUACUCCUUUCCUUGUAUAGGUUUUUCAACUUAAUGAGACACUAAACACCUAUUUAAAGAACCACCCUGCAUUUUCGAAGGAAUAGAAGUGAGCAUGGGAAUAAGAAUUUGGAGAAAAUGAAAAGCUAAGUGGCAAAAGGAAGUGGUUUAGGAACAUGUUUGGCACCAUAAUUUGAUGAUUCUAACACCACACAAUAAACUAAAAAGACACUUGCUGCAUGAUAACCCCUGUCAUAUGCUGCCACGACAAAGUUUAUCUUGUCACACUAACACUACAAUUGCAUCGCCAAACAAUUGUAUUGGCAACAUGCCAUAACCCAGUAUAAGUUUGGUCUUAAAGAGUUUUACUGCUUACUCCUACAAAAUAGUAAGUAAUGUAUCAAAUAAAACCUCUAUUGGUACUACCAUACCACACCAUUUAAGUAAUCAAAUUUCUACUCACCUUCCCCAUCCAUUUAUGCACAACUCUCACAAACAUGGAGUUCACAAAUCCAAAUUUUACUUUCUUCAUAUAUUAAAUAUUUUUCUAGUCCUUCCACUGCACUCAGAUCAAUUGACAAUUUACUAGCUAGUAUACCACUCAACACCACUAUUAACCAGCCCUUAUCGUAAAUUAGCGUCAAGUACAUAAAAAAAGUUGACCUGCAUCUAACUGAGCAGAACCCACCUGCCAAUGGGUCAACCUCAAAGACCUGUAGCCAACCUGCCUAGCCUCCUCACAGCUUCUCUAAAAAGGUGAACUCUACCUGACCCUUCUGAUCCACUUCUUUCUACCUCUUCCAUAUUGUUGUUAAAUAUGUUUAAUAGGGCCUCAAAAAAAUUAAAAAGAGUACAUAUGUAUGUAUGAAUGUAUGUAUAUCGAUGUUCUGUCUCAUUAUGUUAACAUAAUAAACAACAGGUCAUAUUGGUACAACCCAGACCUAACACACUUAACUUGCAGGUUAUUAGUGUUUGGUUAAUAUUUGACAUGCAAAUGCAAUAUAACUCUACUAUAUAUGUGUCUUCCCCAAGUCUAACAAACAUAUGAACAGAUACUUGGAAACUUGCUUGCAUUUAGAUACCUACUUUGUAUACUAUCCAACAAGUCAGCAGCUCAUAUUCAAGCCAAUCUGUUAUACAACAUUGCCGAAAUUAGAUGAUCAAUAACUAGUUACAAAUAAAUAGAGAUAUUCUUUGAGUUUGUGCUUUUCAGAAUAUAAGCUGUCAGUACUUGGAUGUAGCAAACUCAGAUUGUUAUAAGCAUGCAAGCACAUUGUUUCCUGCAAAAUCAAACUCCAUUGAUAAGGUUCCAUUUUGUUAACAUGACACUUAUGUCCUUGUAGGACAUGACAAAAUAGUCCUCAAUCAGCAGUUUUGCAGACCCACAAAUCCUUAUUUAGAGUAAUUUCCCAAUGUGCCUUUGAUCUAUGCAUAAGGUGGCACACAGCAUGUCAAUUGUCUGGUCCCACUGGGGAUCAGCUGUAACAAACUUCUGUAACAGAAUUGUUCCUACCAAUCAUACCAAAGUCCCACUGUAGUCCAUAACUAGUGCACUUUACAACCAGAAGUCCACUUGAUGUCAGAAUUUUUUUAACAAUUGGGCUCUAGACAAUUAUCAGAAGUGUUAGACUAAAAUAGAAACUUGCCAUUCCCACGCUAUAUUUUACAUUUUAUAUACUUUCUAAAAUUAAUUGACAUAUAUGCUGAGUAGGAAGAGAAGGACCUUACUCUUUUGGCUCAAAGAUUAGCUCUUUAAAAACACCAUAUGCAGCCAAGGCUGCAACGCCCAGCCCCGCAAGUAUUAUAACACUGUACGAAGCUCCCUCUGCAAAUGUCACUGGCUUUUCCGGAAUAUUAUAUGUGGGAGCAUCAAAGGGAUCUUCAACUGUAGAUAUGUCUUUUCUCAUUUCCUGAGGAAGGACAGGAUUAUUAGUUGUCUUUAGUGAAACGUAAAUUAAUUAGCAUAAGACCAGAACAGUGAGCAUAAGCCACAUUAAAUAACACAAAGCAUAAUCAAAGAAAAGAACCAGCCUAAAUGACAAUUAUGGAACAAUUAGAUUGUCAUCCAUUGAAGAAAGGGAUUUGCAUUUCUAGUACUCAAUUAUGAAAGUUUAGGGCAUGUUUGGCAUCAUUUCUUUUUUCUAUUUUCUUUUUCCUAAAAGCAAGAACAAGAAAACCAAGUUUGCUACUACUAUUUUUAUCUUCUGCUUUUAAAAUCUGUUUUUUCUGAAAAUUGACAACCAGAAAAUCUGGCUCAGUCUUUUAGAAAAACAGAGAACCUUUUCUCGAGCAGACCCAUCCCCUGCCCUGAGUCCCUGGCCUCCUUGCACCCAACCAUGUUCCUCUUUGAUACCAACACCUCCACAUUCCCCCGCCCCCCUCCUCUCCACCACCCCAAAAUCCCAAUGCCCUCCUCAAUGUCCUCAUUCAAAAACCCUAGAACCCAACCCCGCCCCCUCUCUGCACUCCUUUGCACUCUCUCCACCCACAAUAAUGAUGUAUCCAUCGCUGGUGACAUGCAAACUAUGAGCAUUGCUACUAGCACACGGUUGCCAAGCAUUCCUCUGAUGGAAAGCCAUCACAAUCCUAGUGGUGCUUGAAUUUCACUUGGCCUCUAAUGGUGGCAGCAACUUCAAGUUACAAAACCAGAGGAUAGACACUAGCUAUACUAGCCUCUGCAACCAUAUCGCCUCUUCCCCCUCCACUGUUGCUAGGCUCCUCUUCCCCAGCCCUAUGCUGUCGCCUUCACCCCCGGCAACCCCAACGAGAUCCAUAUCGGGCAUUGCCCCACAAAGCCAACCAUGUAUGCCUACCUCAAGAGCAACUUCCCCUGGAUUUUUGAUAAUAUUUUUUAUUUUCUCUGCUUACAAAAGGAAAAGUAGUUUACUACACCAAACAUGUUUAUUUUUUGAAAAUCUUGAACAAAAAAAAUAGAAAUGAAUUUUUCCUGUUUUUGAGAAUAGGAAAAGUGAAAGUGAUGCCAACACAACCUAAGAACAUGUUAGGUGUUGCUUAAAA